rnacentral:rRNA from 1 species
GACAGAGGGUGCAAACGUUGUUCGGAUUUACUGGGCGUAAAGCGCGUGUAGGCGGCUUUGCAAGUCGGAUGUGAAAUCCCACGGCUCAACCGUGGAAGUGCAUCCGAAACUGCAUCGCUGGAGUCUCGGAGAGGAAGGUGGAAUGCUUGGUGUAGAGGUGAAAUUCGUAGAUAUCAAGCAGAACACCUGCGGCGAAGGCGGCCUUCUGGACGAUGACUGACGCUGAGACGCGAAAGCGUGGGGAGCGAACAGG